rnacentral:rRNA from 1 species
GACGAACGCUGGCGGCGUGGAUUAGGCAUGCAAGUCGAACGGUAUCAUCCUUUCGGGGGUGAGAGAGUGGCGAACUGGUGAGUAACACGUAGGUUAUCUACCCUCAAGACGGGGACAACCCAGGGAAACUUGGGCUAAUACCGGAUGUGAGCAACUUUUAGUUGUUUGAAAGGUGGCGUAAGCUGUCGCUUGGGGAUCGAGCCUGCGUCCUAUUAGUUAGUUGGUGAGGUAACGGCUCACCUAGGCAAUGAUAGGUAGGCGGCCUUAACGGGUGGUCGCCCACACUGGGAUUGAGAUACGGCCCAGACUCCUACGGGAGGCAGCAGUCGAGAAUAGUCUACAAUGGUCGGAAGACUGAUAGUGCGACGCCCGCGUGAACGAUGAAUCCCUUCGGGGUGUAAAGUUCUUUUAUAUGUGAGCAGUGCUUCUUAUAUUAACAGUAUGGGGAGAGAGAUAUUAGCAUAUGAAUAAGCAACGGCUAACUCCGUGCCAGCAGCCGCGGUAAACUCGU